AUUGAACGCUGGCGGCAGGCCUAACACAUGCAAGUCGAGCGGAUGAAGGGAGCUUGCUCCUGGCUUCAGCGGCGGACGGGUGAGUGAUGACUAGGAAGCUGCCUUGUAUUGAGGGAUAACGUCCGGUCACGGGCGCUAAUACCACAUACGUCCUGAGUUUGAAAGUGGGGGAUCUUCGGACCUCGCGCUAUCAGCUGAGCCUAGGUCGCAUUAGCUAGUUGGUUGGGUAAAGGCCUACCAAGGCGACGAUCCGUAGCUGGCCUGAGAGGAUGAUCUGUCACACUGGAACUGAGACACGGUCCAGACUCCUACGGGAGGCAGCAGUGGGGAAUCUUCGACAAUGGGCGAAAGCCUGACGCAGCCACGCCGCGUGAGUGAAGAAGGUCUUCGGAUCGUAAAGCACUUUUAGUAGGGAGGAACAGAAGUGAGAUAAUAUCUGGCUGUUUUGACGGUACCAAAACAAUAAGCCCCGGCUAACUUCGUG
rnacentral:rRNA from 1 species